rnacentral:rRNA from 1 species
AUACGUAGGGGGCGAACGUUGUCCGGAUUUAUUGGGCGUAAAGGGUACGUAGGCGGCCAUAUAAGUCAGAUGUGAAAGGCCAAGGCUUAACCUUGGUUAGCAUUUGAAACUGUGUGGCUUGAGUUAAGGAGAGGAAAGUGGAAUUCCUGGUGUAGCGGUGAAAUGCGUAGAUAUCAGGAGGAAUACCAGUGGCGAAGGCGACUUUCUGGACUUAUACUGACGCUGAGGUACGAAAGCGUGGGGAGCAAACAGGAUUAGAUACCCUGGUAGUCCACGCCGUAAACGAUGGGUGCUAGGUGUCGGGGGUCAAACCUCGGUGCCGCAGCUAACGCAUUAAGCACUCCGCCUGGGGAGUACGUUCGCAAGAAUGAA